rnacentral:rRNA from 1 species
AUUGAACGCUGGCGGCAGGCCUAACACAUGCAAGUCGAGCGGAUGAAGGGAGCUUGCACCUGGAUUCAGCGGCGGACGGGUGAGUAAUGCCUAGGAAUCUGCCUGGUAGUGGGGGAUAACGUCCGGAAACGGGCGCUAAUACCGCAUACGUCCUGAGGGAGAAAGUGGGGGAUCUUCGGACCUCACGCUAUCAGAUGAGCCUAGGUCGGAUUAGCUAGUUGGUGGGGUAAAGGCCUACCAAGGCGACGAUCCGUAACUGGUCUGAGAGGAUGAUCAGUCACACUGGAACUGAGACACGGUCCAGACUCCUACGGGAGGCAGCAGUGGGGAAUAUUGGACAAUGGGCGAAAGCCUGAUCCAGCCAUGCCGCGUGUGUGAAGAAGGUCUUCGGAUUGUAAAGCACUUUAAGUUGGGAGGAAGGGCAGUAAGUUAAUACCUUGCUGUUUUGACGUUACCAACAGAAUAAGCACCGGCUAACUUCGU